rnacentral:ncRNA from 1 species
UCCUGAAGAUUUUUAUAUCUCCUUGAGCAAGAGAUAUAGAAUAGGACUACACGUCAAUUUACUAGCACAUUAUUUAGGUUUAUUUUAAGUCAUGAAAUUCAACUUUGACAGAAAUGGAUAGGUGGUGAAAGAAAAUCUUUAGGAUUUUCAAAAGUAAGUUGGCUAUUUUAG